rnacentral:rRNA from 1 species
GUUCAACGGCCGCGGUAUCCUAACCGUGCGAAGGUAGCGUAAUCACUUGUUCUUUAAAUGAGGACUAGUAUGAAUGGCACCACGAGGGUUAAACUGUCUCCUUUUUUUAAUCAGUGAAACUAAUCUCCCCGUGAAGAAGCGGGGAUUCUUUUAUAAGACGAGAAGACCCUAUGGAGCUUUAAACAAGUUAACACCUGCUACUAAUCUUCACUUUCCUGAACUACCACAUUAAGUAUAGCACCCCUGAUUAACAGUUUUCGAUUGGGGUGAUCAUGGAGCAAAAAUCAACCUCCACGACGAAAAGGAACACCUCCUUGAGCCAAAAGCUACAACUUUAAGCACUAAAAAACUAACGCACUUUGACCCAAUUCUUUGAGCAACGAACCAAGUUACCCUAGGGAUAACAGCGCAAUCCACUUUAAGAGCUCCUAUCGACAAGUGGGUUUACGACCUCGAUGUUGGAUCAGGGUAUCCCAGUGGUGCAGCCGCUACUAAAGGUUCGUUUGUUCAACGAUUAAAACCC